rnacentral:sRNA from 1 species
AAUGAUCAUUCCGUCGAUGUAUUGGGCCUACCCCAAAUGGCGAGCCGAACAAAUACGACGGAGCGCCGAUCUCA